GUGAAACAAGAUACAGGCUAGCGGCGGACGGUGAGUAACACGUGGUAACCUGCCAAGAGAUCGGGAUAACACCUGGAAACAGAUGCUAAUACCGGAUAACAACAGAUGAUGCCUAUCAACUGUUUAAAAAGAUGGUUCUGCUAUCACUCUUGGAUGGACCUGCGGUGCAUCAGCUAGUUGGUAGGGGUAACGGGCCUACCAAGGCGAUGAUGCAUAGCCGAGUUGAGAGACUGAUCGGCCACAUUGGGACUGAGACACGGCCCAAACUCCUACGGGAGGCAGCAGUAGGGAAUCUUCCACAAUGGACGCAAGUCUGAUGGAGCAACGCCGCGUGAGUGAAGAAGGUUUUCGGAUCGUAAAGCUCUGUUGUUGGUGAAGAAGGAUAGAGGUAGUAACUGGCCUUUAUUUGACGGUAAUCAACCAGAAAGUCACGGCUAACUACGUGCCAGCAGCCGCGGUAAAU
rnacentral:rRNA from 1 species